rnacentral:rRNA from 1 species
UACAGAGGUCCCGAGCGUUGUUCGGAUUCACUGGGCGUAAAGGGCGCGUAGGCGGCACGGCAAGUCGGGAGUGAAAGCCCGGGGCUCAACCCCGGAGGGUCUUCCGAAACUGCCGAGCUAGAGUGCGGAAGAGGCAACCGGAAUUCCCAGUGUAGCGGUGAAAUGCGUAGAUAUUGGGAAGAACACCAGUGGCGAAGGCGGCUAUCUGGACGGUUUCUGACACUAAGACUCGAAAGCGUGGGGAGCAAACAGG